rnacentral:rRNA from 1 species
GUUGACCUCGGAUCAGGUAGGGAUACCCGCUGAACUUACAACAGGGAUUACCUCAGUAACGGCGAGUGAAGCGGUAACAGCUCAAAUUUGAAAGCUAGCUCUUCUAGGGUUCGCAUUGUAAUUUGUAGAAGAUGCUUCGGGUGUGGCCCCGGUCUAAGUUCCUUGGAACAGGACGUCAUAGAGGGUGAGAAUCCCGUAUGUGACUGGGUGCUUUCGCUCAUGUGAAGCUCUUUCGACGAGUCGAGUUGUUUGGGAAUGCAGCUCAAAAUGGGUGGUAAAUUUCAUCUAAAGCUAAAUAUUGGCCAGAGACCGAUAGCGCACAAGUAGAGUGAUCGAAAGAUGAAAAGCACUUUGGAAAGAGAGUUAAACAGUACGUGAAAUUGUUGAAAGGGAAGCGCUUGCAACCAGACUUGCGCGCUGAUGAUCAUCCGGGCUUCUGUCCGGUGCACUCGUCUGCGCUCAGGCCAGCAUCGGUUUCGGUGGUGGGAUAAAGGCCUUGGGAAUGUAGCUUCUUUCGGGGAGUGUUAUAGCCCUCGGUGCAAUGCCGCCUACCGGGACCGAGGACCGCGCUUCGGCUAGGAUGCUGGCGUAAUGGUUGUAAGCGA